rnacentral:lncRNA from 1 species
AUCCUUCUAGUCUUUUAUGAGCCAUUAGAUGUAGGUUUUAAGUUUAUGGAAUGUAAAGAGCAUAUAUAAGCCUCUUAUGAUCAUUUUGUAAUCUUUAAGUGAGUAAGGGGGGAAACCCUUCUCCUUCAUGUUCUAUGAAAGUCUGUUCUUGAUACUAAAUCUCUAAUCUAUUCUCUAAGUCUCUCAGUCUCUUUAAUCUUGUUACCUAGUCUCUCUCAUACUCUAAAUCUCUCCCCAUACUCCUAAGUCUCAAAUCUGCUCACAUAAACUCUCCUAAACACUUUCUCACACACACCUUGAGUUAAUCCUAUAAAAAUCUCAUGGUAUCAGAGCCAGGUUCAUCAGAACCUGGUAUCUAACUUCCGCAAAGCUCAAGCCCACCUCCAUGGUUGUUUGAAGCAAAGAAGAAGCUCUUUAGUCCAGCCAACGUUUGUUCAUUUUCAGGAGGAAGAUAAACACAUCCAUAAACUCUCCUAAACACUUUCUCACACACACCUUGAGUUAAUCCUAUAAAAAUCUCAUGGUAUCAGAGCCAGGUUCAUCAGAACCUGGUAUCUAACUUCCGCAAAGCUCAAGCCCACCUCCAUGGUUGUUUGAAGCAAAGAAGAAGCUCUUUAGUCCAGCCAACGUUUGUUCAUCUUCAGGAGGAAGAUAAACACAUCUGAGGUGCUUGAGAAGCUGUAUGUGCUCUAUCCUGACUUAUCAAGCUCGACCUGAAGAAAGGAGACCCUGAAGAACAAAGCCUUGAAGCUGUUUGACAACACUCUUCAAGAGCUAGAUCCUUGAGUCUUAGUGGUGGUUCAAGAAGAAAGGUGAUAGCUUUCUACUUGGGACUGGUUUGGCGACUUGAAAGGGAGGAAAUGAGGUGUCUCAGCCAUGGUGGGGUCAAGAGGAUGGUUCAUGAAAGAAGAAGGGGUGUGAUACGACACCAAGAGCUCAACAUCUGGCCAUGAACCAUGGAGAUUCAAGGAACUAGUAAAAGUUCCUUGGCUGUAAGCUGGAUCUCUUUCCCUCUUUAUUAAAAAGCUUGAGUAUAGAAAUGUUGAGGUGGUGUGGUGAUUGAUGUUCUGUGUAUAUCCCAGGAUGCUUCAAAGGCUUGAUUAGUGUUUUGAAGAAUAAAGUGAUUGCUCUAGUUCAGUCAUGAGUUUGCUAAGAUAUUAAAACUUAUUGUUUGAAUCCUGUGCUCAUGAACUGAAAAUUGAUUGAAGUAAUGCUGAGAACUGUGUAGUCCUGGAUAUAAUGAUGCUUGUCAGGGAGUUAGUAGACGUCUAAACCUGAUUGCUUUUCAUGAAAUGAAUCCGCUGGCUGUCUGACAUUGAAGCAUUAGAUUCAUGUCUAAAUGCUGAGUAAAGAAGCUCUUAAGAGUGCCUAAGUAACUUGUCUUGAAUCUGUUAGGAUCCUGCUUGUACUUAGAGAGUUAGCUUGCAAAGAAUAGAACUUGAAGAAUGCCUUGUGUCUAUCUGUUGCAUUGCUUGUGAUAGUAGGAAUCAAACUUGAUAAGUUGUUAAUCAAGAUUUGACAUCAGUACUAUUGAAAAUGGUUAAAUGCUUAAUGUCAGUUCUAAAUAAACAUGUCUUGUUAAAGAUGAUAGAUUAUAUUAUCUAAUCAUGCUUGCCUUCAUGAGUUAGAAACUGAGUAAGAUUAAUGCAUACUGCCUCUGUUUAUUGUUGCAUUUAGAUUAAAGUCUAAGUUGCAUAUUAAGGAAUGGUUAAAAUUGCCUAAAUACUUUGACUUGAAUCUGAUAAGGUCUUGCUUAGUAUUUAGAGAAUGGUUGCUUUCAUAGAUAAGAACUUGACAUUGUCUUGAUUCUAUCUAAUGCUAUAAAGCUUGAGACAUUGGUGAUCAAACUUGAUGAAGUCAAGGAUUGAUCCCAAUGCAAUUGUGUCUUAUCUUUGCUAGAGUUUGAGUGAUGUUUCAGGUUCACAAAAGGUGUUCCUAGUUCAUCAUCAAAUCCAAGUUGAAAGAGAAAGAAUGAUGCCCAUUGUGUGUACAAUGGAGAGGUGUUACAAGAAGGGAGAAGCACAGAUGGUUGUAAAACUCACUAGUGUUCUUCUUCUCAACAUUGCAAGUACCAGAAGAAGAAGCCAACCGGGUCUAGGCAGUGGCGUGCCUAUUCAAGAGGGUGCUCAAACUAAGACAGAGCACUCUUGGCUGUGUGAAGAAGAAGGCUACUCUAUCAAGGCGGCUUCUAUUGUGAGGUGAUUGAAGAAGUAGCUGAAGCAUCCACAAGCAUUCCAUCAUGGUGGUGAAUUCAGAAGGGUGAUUGCAAUAAGAGAAGAAGAAGAAGAAGUAAGGAUUCAAGUGGUAACGUUGAGAACCACUCCUCAUCAUCUUAACCAAGGGAGUAAACCUAAUCUCAUCUACCUUAAUAUGUCUUGAUAGGUUUAUCUCCUGAUUAUACUAUGUGCUUUCCCUAAUUCCAUUAAGAGUUUAUAGCUUCUAGUAGAAUGUCUAGGCUAAUUGCACUGAAAUUGUGUUGCUACAGCAUUGUCUUAUUGAUAAUAAGUAAUGUCUAGAGUCCCAGAAACUCAUGGUCUGUUUAUUGCAUUGUCUUGGGUGUGGUCUUAAACUUGAAUCAUCAUGAAUGUGUUGUAGAAUUGAGUAGAAUGUCUCUGCUACUUGCAUCAUGAUUGAUAAGUUAUUUUGCAUACAUAAGCAUAUCUCAUACUGUCUAAGUUCAAUCCUAGUGUUAUCUGAUGCUACUGUCUAUGUUUAAUCCAUCAAUGAAAGUCUUGCAUCAAUUAGAAAUUGUCUAAGUUGCUUGCAUCAUUGGUUCUGAUUGAAACUGUUGUGCAUAACUUUAAUAUUAAUCAUGGAUUGAACCUGUUGCAUUCAUAUAGCUGAUGUUUUAAGAUUGUGCAUUCAUGUAGUAAUGCAUUUAAAAAUGAGCCUAAAUUGCAAAUGUACUGAUGUAAGCUUGCAUUGCAUUUAGAGAACUUAAUAAUCAUAAUAACCUAGGAUGUCAUUGUAGUAUCUAGAACUUGCAUUGUCAUUGUUAGAGAUUGAAAUCUACUUGUCUUGACUCUGUCCAGUUCUGAGUGUUGCUAUGCCAUAGUUAAAUCCAUCAGUGAUGUCUUAUAAGCAUUUAGAAGUAUGUCUAAGCUACUUGAAUCAUUGGCUGUGAUAAAACUAGUGAGCAUAAGCAUAAGCUACUUGAAUCAUAGUCACGCUUAUUGUCUUGAUUGCAUAAGUACCAUCUAGUCUUGUGUUCAUUUGAAUUGAAUCUGGUUCAUUCAUAUGGUUAGUGUGUAAUCUAAUGCAUUCAUCUAUUGUUGCAUUUAAAAAAAAAAAUAUAAUAACUGAAACUAAAUUGAAUCUAAAGGGAUCAGUGUAUUGUUGAAAGCAUACAUUGUCUUUGCAUUUUCUUGUCUUGAUUGUCUAGCUUGUUUCAAGUAUCAUAUAUUAUUGUGGCAUUGGUGAUCAAACAGGAUGGAUGAUCUUGGUUUGAUCCCAAUGGAAUGAUCUGAUCUUGCAUUGAGUUGUGGUGGUGUUAGGUACACAAGGAAGGUGAUACAUGUAACUCGCCAACAACCAAGAAUGUAAAGACAAAGGUCUUGUGCCAUUGCAUAUCAUCACUAGGACAUGUUAGUCGAUAAACUACAGGAAGUGUAGUGUGAUAGAAUAUGCAAUGAGAGAUGGCCAUUGCAUAAUACCAUUGGACAUAUCUAGUCCUUAGUCUACAGGAAGUGUAGCAUGGGUCAUUAUGCAAUGAGAGGUGUGUCUUGUGAGACUCUCUAUGGUGAUUCAAACACCCUAGUUCCUGGUUAAGGAAGAGAGUAAACUCACAAGAAGAAAGCUAUCAUGAAAGAUGAUAGUUAUUAGACCAUGGAGAUGCAUAGGAUCAUCACAAGCUUAGCUCCUUAUAGUCUCGGUUCUAAGCUUGAGGGGGAGUCUUAAUGCAUAUGAUCCAUGGUCAGUAACAAGUCUUUGCAAAGGCUUCUACAAAGGAUCAUCAACCGGACCAAGUCAGUGGCGUGUCUAGGUAAAAGGCUGUUCAGAGCAGUCUUGGCGAGUGAGGAAGAAGGCUCUCCAUCAAUGCGGCUUCAAUGAGAGGUGAUAGAGGAGAAACUGAUGAAUCCAUUCUGCCUUUCCAAGAAGUUGAUGAUGCCAUGAAGAUGGUGCAUUGGCCGAGUUAGGAAACUCACAAAAACACAAGGGAAGUUCCCUUAGACUUUUAAACUCUUUCUUCAAUCUUUUUCAUUCAUCUUAUUCAUUGCUUGUGCUUGAAAAGAUACUUAAGAUGCUCAUGAUUGAAUUAUGGGAUUGUGUGCAUCAAGUGUGAUGCAGGAUAUUCAUUGUCUUGUUUUUGAUAGGUUCUGAUGCACCUUUGGGAUAAUGUAUCAGGUACCAUUGCUUGAGCCUCACUAAAGGUGUUCCUGGUCAUUUCCUAGCUUCUCUAAGGUGGCUGUGAAGUCUGUUGAGAAGGGGAUAUCCAAACCAGUUCUAUAAAGAGGGCAAGCCGUGUGUGAAGUGUUGAUCAGCCUCACUGGUGUUUUGAAGAUGAUCUGGUUGUGUCCUAGCUUCUCUAGGAUGGCUGUGAAGUCAGUUGAGAGGGGGAGACUUCAAACCGGUUCCAUGGAGAGGUGAAGCUGAAGUGUGAAGUGUGCGCAAAGCUGUGAAGAGUUGCUGCACCUAGUAGGCCGUGAUCCAGAGCUUCUUGUGUCCAACCACACUGGUUCUAAGGCACAAGAGCUCACUGGCCAAUCCCUAGGCUUUGGAGAGCUCUACUCUUUUUCCCUUGCAAGGUUUUGUCCCAAUGGGUUUUCCUUGUAAGGUUUUUAAUGAGGGAGACUCUUCAGAGUUCCAAGCUUGGCUUAGGAUCUCCUAAAGUCAAGCUUGAGGGGGAGUGUUGAACUGAAGAGAAGAAUGGAGCUUGUGCAUAAAUAGGGCAAGCUUCAGGUGAUCUCCGGAAGAGUUCUACAAAGCUUCAGGAGAGUCUUGAAGUAUCUAUCAUGGGUGAAGUUAAGUUCAAGAAGGGCUUAGACUGAUCUUAAGAAGACAUGGAAGAAGUAUGGAGGUGAAUGGUUGAACGUGCAAAGUUAGGGCGAGGCCGGUACGGAUGGCCGUACGGAUGGUACGGCCCGUACGGACAUGAUCGACUCAAAACUUAUGUACUCGGCCAUUUGAAGCUAUUUGAGGGCUGUGCAAAUAUAGGGCAUUGGUGUACGGUUAUGGCAAGUCCGUACAGCCAAGGAGAAGCUCUAAUAUGAAUGUGCAAAGUCCGGGAUGGUGAGAAGCAUCAAAUGGAACAAGAAGAUGCUUUGGAGGCAAGAAGAUUCAAAUAAGAGUUGGCGCCAGUCUGUGGGUUAUGGGAUUGGUUGUAGUGGUCUAAGGACAGGCUGUAAAGAGCUGUAAAGGAAGAGCAAGGCUUGACCAAGUAUCUGGCCAAAGAAGAGGGCAGAUACAUAAGGCUGUGUGGAGCAUUUCUAGCCUUGCCUUCCCACAUCCAAUCAGGCGACAACAACAAGCUGCAAAGACCACAAGACUGAAUCAAGAUCGUCCAAUUCAAAUCAGAGCAUCUCCACCCUUCAUGUCUUAUCUAUUACUUUAGGGUUUCAUGAGUUUGUAACCUGUUUCUAUAUAAAGACCCCAUUAGGGCGAAUUGUAAGCCUUAAGUGAGUAAGGGGGGAAACCCUUCUCCUUCAUGUUCUAUGAAAGUCUGUUCUUGAUACUAAGUCUCUAAUCUAUUCUCUAAGUCUCUCAGUCUCUUUAAUCUUGUUACCUAGUCUCUCUCAUACUCUAAAUCUCUCCCCAUACUCCUAAGUCUCAAAUCUGUUCACAUAAACUCUCCUAAACACUUUCUCACACACACCUUGAGUUAAUCCUAUAAAAAUC